rnacentral:rRNA from 1 species
AUACGUAGGGGGCGAGCGUUGUCCGGAAUGAUUGGGCGUAAAGGGCGCGUAGGCGGCCCGGUAAGUCUGGAGUGAAAGUCCUGUUUUUAAGAUGGGAAUUGCUUUGGAUACUGUCGGGCUUGAGUGCAGGAGAGGGAAGUGGAAUUCCCAGUGUAGCGGUGAAAUGCGUAGAGAUUGGGAGGGACACCAGUGGCGAAGGCGACUUACUGGACUGUAACUGACGCUGAGGCGCGAAAGUGUGGGGAGCAUACAGGAUUAGAUACCCUGGUAGUCCACACUGUAAACGAUGAAUGCUAGGUGUAGGGGGUAUCGACCCCUUCUGUGCCGCAGUCAACACAAUAAGCAUUCCGCCUGGGGAGUACGGCCGCAAGGUUGAAACUCAAAUGAAUUGGCGGGG